CUGAUGAAGCAGCUGAGAUUAAAGUAGGUUUUUACUUUAUUUGUACAAAAACAGUUCGGAUCUUUUGGUUUCUAUACAAUCUAUCUUUGUUUUUUAAACACUUUAUGUUGAGAGAAGAUUUGAUAGUUGACUCACUUGCAUUUUCGUUCUGAUAUAUUCACAUAGGAAGAAUUGAGAUGGGGUUUUAUUAUUUUUUUUUAUAGGAUUACACAGAAACCCUUCAACAG
rnacentral:misc_RNA from 1 species